rnacentral:rRNA from 1 species
CCCUUAGAUGUUCUGGGCUGCACGCGCGCUACACUGACGCACGCAACAGGUGCCUGCUCCGAGAGGACUGGGUAAUCAUUUGAGUGUGCGUCGUGAUGGGGAUAGAAUAUUGUAAUUAUUACUCUUCAACGAGGAAUUCCUAGUAAGCGCCAGUCAGCAGCUUGCGCUGAUUACGUCCCUGCCCUUUGUACACACCGCCCGUCGCUCCUACCGAUGGGUGAUCCGGUGAAUGAUUCGGACUUCAGCGGCUCCCCUGGGGUGCGCCGGAGAAAGUUUUGUGAACCUUAUCACUUGGAGGAAGGAGAAGUCGUAACG